UACGGAGGGUGCAAGCGUUAACCGGAAUUACUGGGCGUAAAGCGCACGCAGGUGGCUGAGUCAGUCGAUUGUGAAAGCCCUGGGCUUAACCUGGGAAUUGCAGUCGAUACUACUCAGCUAGAGUAUGGGAGAGGGUAGUGGAAUUCCCGGUGUAGCGGUGAAAUGCGUAGAUAUCGGGAGGAACAUCAGUGGCGAAGGCGGCUACCUGGCCCAAUACUGACACUCAGGUGCGACAGCGUGGGGAGCAAACAGG
rnacentral:rRNA from 1 species